CUUUCGGGUCGUAAAACUCUGUUGUUAGGGAAGAACAAGUGCUAGUUGAAUAAGCUGGCACCUUGACGGUACCUAACCAGAAAGCCACGGCUAACUACGUGCCAGCAGCCGCGGUAAUACGUAGGUGGCAAGCGUUAUCCGGAAUUAUUGGGCGUAAAGCGCGCGCAGGUGGUUUCUUAAGUCUGAUGUGAAAGCCCACGGCUCAACCGUGGAGGGUCAUUGGAAACUGGGAGACUUGAGUGCAGAAGAGGAAAGUGGAAUUCCAUGUGUAGCGGUGAAAUGCGUAGAGAUAUGGAGGAACACCAGUGGCGAAGGCGACUUUCUGGUCUGUAACUGACACUGAGGCGCG
rnacentral:rRNA from 1 species